rnacentral:rRNA from 1 species
GACGAACGCUGGCGGCGUGCUUAACACAUGCAAGUCGAACGAAGUGGCGAACGGGUGAGUAACGCGUAAUCAACCUGCCCUUCAGAGGGGGACAACAGUUGGAAACGACUGCUAAUACCGCAUACUGAGGGAGGGGAUUGCGUCUGAUUAGCUGGUUGGGGGGGUAACGGCCCACCAAGGCGAUGAUCAGUAGCCGGUCUGAGGGGGUGAACGGCCAAAAUGGGAAUGAGGCACGGCCCAGACCCCUACGGGAGGCAGCAGUGGGGAAUCUUCCGAAAUGGACGGAAGUCUGACGGAGCAACGCCGCGGUAGUUAUGACGGCCUUCGGGUUGUAAAGCUCUGUUAAUCGGGACGCGGUACCGGAAUAGAAAGCCACGGCUAACUACGUGCCAGCAGCCGCGGUAAUAC